rnacentral:rRNA from 1 species
UUGUGUGUUGUUGUUAGGUGAAGUGGUUUGGAAUGACCUGCCGGAGAAGGUGAGAGUCCUGUAGUUGAAGACAAUGGCAUGCAGGUUGUUGGGUUGCCCGAGUAGCAGCGGGCUCGUGGAAUCUGCUGUGAAUCUGCCGGGACCACCCGGUAAGCCUAAAUACUCAGUGUGACCGAUAGUGUAUUAGUACCGUGAGGGAAUGGUGAAAAGUACCCCGGGAGGGGAGUGAAAUAGUACCUGAAACCGUGUGCCUACAAUCCGUUGGAGCCUCCCUAGCAGGGGUGACAGCGUGCCUUUUGAAGAAUGAGCCUGCGAGUUAGUGGUACGUGGCGAGGUUAACCCGUGUGGGGUAGCCGUAGGGAAACCGAAUCCUAAUGGGGUGUCAAGUGGCAUGUCCUGGACCCGAAGCGGGGUGAUCUACCCAUGGCCAGUGUGAAGCAGCUGUAAGAGGUUGUGGAGGCGCGAACCCACGUAG